rnacentral:rRNA from 1 species
UACGUAGGGAGCAAGCGUUUGUCCGGAAUCAUUGGGCGUAAAGCGCGCGUAGGUGGCUCUAUAAGUCCGUUGUGAAAGUCAAAGGCUCAACCUUUGAAAGCCGAUGGAUACUGUAGAGCUAGAGUCCGGAAGAGGAGAGUGGAAUUCCUGGUGUAGCGGUGAAAUGCGCAGAUAUCAGGAAGAACACCCGUGGCGAAGGCGGCUCUCUGGGACGGUACUGACGCUGAGACGCGAAAGCGUGGGGAGCGAACAGG